AGUAGUAAGAGAUAAAUAGCAUGUAUCUUGGUCUAAGUACUUUUGGAUACCAGUAUGAGCUUUGAAACCAGGCAGCCUGGGUUUGAAUUCUAGGUCCACUGUGUAUUGGUGGUGUUGAAGGACCCCAAGGCCCCAGGCCCAACAUUAGGAAAACUAACCCCUGUGCCCUGAAGCUGCAAGAUGUUCCCUCACCCAACCCCCAUGUCAAAACCCCUCCAGCAGCAUGUAGCACCUCAGGUGUUGCACAAUGUUACCACAAGAUGUUCCAUGUAGAUAACCCUAACGGGCCCCCUAUCACAAGAUGUUCCUUUUAGACAGUCCUACUGGUUAAACUUGAGAACUAGGUUUAAAAACAGGAACUGAAAGGACAGAAUGCAAUUUUAUGGUUUUUCUGAGAACAAAAAGUUGAAAAACAAGUUUACCCCCCUAGGUGACUCAACUGCUGAAUUCAGAGGGACCAAUAGGAAGGCUGUUGCUGUGCUAAGCUAAGACCUAACCCACCUGUUCCAUAUAAAAGAUCUAUACCCCAAAGCCCGGUGUGCCAGCUCAUCGAAGCUCCGGCUGAGGUUUUGCUGUGCACCCGCAGGCGCCUGUGUGAGAAUAAACGCCUCCUGCUUUUUGCAGCCAGUGUCUCGUGUGGUUCAUUCCGGGUUUGGGAUCUGUGGAUAUUUCAUUGUGGAGGUUCCACCGAGAUCCAAGAUCCCGGUUCCGGUUCGAUCCCGGUCCCUAUCCGGAGGACACCCGACAUCACUGGGAGGUAUACAAGUCUGUAAGGUAAAAGCUUCAAAAGAACAUUAUAUCAAGCUGGUGUUCUAAAGUUGUAUGGUAAUUUUAGGCUUAAAAAAAAAAUGUUAAAAAUUCCAUUAUAUCAUUUGUGUUCUAUAACUGAACUUGUUAUCAAUAAGAUAUGUACAGUUCCAUGUUACUUUCUACUCUAAGAUACAAUUUAUGUAUUUUUAAGUUAAUAAGAGCCUAAUCUGUGUGAAGGUUUAAUUGCAAAACACAAAAGUACAUUACUACUUUUCUACAAGAAGUUAAAAGCUUUCAGCCUUUAAUUCAUAUUUUAGGUGUGAUAUUAUGUUGUGUUAGCUAAUGUUCAUGUAAACUUGAACAACAAUUUAUGUAAACUUUGUAAAAUGAUCAGCUUCAGAACUAUAGUACUUGAGAUUUAUAAAGAGCCCUGCCUUACUUGAGAUAAGGCUCUGUCCCAUCUCACUACAUGUGAAAAUGGCUAUAAAAAAAGUAAGCCAGAUUUCAGUACAGUUAAAGUUGUGUCCAAAAGUAGGUUUUUGCCAAGAUUACUAGGAUCUCAAACAGGAAAUUAUGAUGUAUAACCUUGCCAGAAUUCAAGGUAGCUAUUAUAUAAGCUAAAUAUGUUUUUACCCUAGUUAGUUUUGUUUUGUAGUUUGCUUAUAGAUGGUUUAAGGAUUGCCUAUUAAUAUUCUAAAGAGGUAUUGCUUUAAGAACACAACCUGGGUCAACAUAAGAUAAAGAGUUAUCACCUACAGGAUAGAGAGAUAGACAUUAAAGCCCAGUGCUCUUAAUAUAAGGCUGUUAACUUAUUUGCUGGAUGUUUAAGAUCAAGUUUUUAAAAUUAGUUAAAUUAAAAGGGCCAAGAAAACCAAUAUUUGGCUCUUGCCCUCUGAGUCAGUCUGAAUCAGGGAAUAGGGGACUUCUCCAAAGGGCUCAGCAACUCUAGGCCACAUAACCUCCUGAGCAGGGAGAUUAAUGAGACCAGUGGAGGACAGAAAGCCAAAUGGUGCAUUUGCUGUAAAGAGGAGGGUCAUUAAAAAAGGGAGACAUCCCUGAUGCUUCUGAGGGAAGCCAUAUGGUCAAACAAGGCCUGGACCCAUCCUAGCGCAAAUGGCACUAGCAGAACUGAAAAACUGCUAUGAAGUUCCCGAGGACUCCCAGGAUAACUCAGCUGACUGUAAACAAUAGGUAGAAACAAAAGUCAGUUUGACUUGCUUCAUCUUAAACACUUAGCAAAGACAGUCAAAGCCAAAGCACAGCUGUUCCUGGACAUCUUAAAUAAUAAUAAUAAUUAAAUGUAACUUCCAUAAAUAAAUAGACUGGAGGCUACAAGAGAGAUUCUUAGACAGAAAUGCCUGAUAACUGUCAAAGGAACUACUAGAAUAGUUUUAGUCUAAGGCUUUUAUUUCUAGACAACACAGGUAGACUUGAUGUUUGCUAAUAUGGUUAUCCAGCCCUAAGUAGCAGAAUUAAAGAUUUCUCUAUUAGACACAGAGGAAAAACAAAAGGCUCUUUUGGAAGCUCGCAAAAAUGUGCCAGGGGACGACGGGCGCCCCACCCAACUCACAAAUUUGAUUAACGAAGCUUUUCCUUUAACCCGGCCAAACUGGGACUAUGCGACUGAAGCAGGUGAGAACCACCUACAUCUCUAUCGCCAGUUACUCAUAGCGGGUCUCCAUGGAGCAGGGGGGUCUCCAUGGAGCAGGGCGACAGCCCACCAAUUUGGCUCAGGUAAGACAGACUAUCCAGGGGUCAGAGGAAACUCCGACAGCCUUCUUAGAGAAAUUAAAAGAGGCUUAUCGGAGGUUUACUCCCUUUGAUCCUGAUAAUGAGGACCAAAAAAAAAACAUUUAAUGGGCCUGCCUUCGUCUCCCAGGUAAGUCAGGCGGUAGCCAAUACAUUGGAGAUUAAUUAAAAAUUACAUUAUGGUUAUAGACCCCAAAGUUCAGGACAGGUAAAAAAGGUAAAUAGAACCAUUAAGGAGACUUUAACUAAAUUGACACUUAAAACUGGCACUAGAGACUGGGUACAACUCCUACCUUUAGUCUUGUAUGGGGCCCAAAACACCCCAGGCCCACAUGGACUAACCCCAUUUAAAAUCCUGUACGGUGCCCCACCUCCCGCUAUUAACUUUUAUAAAACUAAAACCUAUGCCUCCCUCACCCCAUCUAUGCAGACUCAUUUGCAUGCUUUGCAAUUGGUCCAGAAUGAGGUCUGGAAGCCUCUAGCCGCAGCAUACAAAGAGGAACUUAAAACCCCCUUGCUGCCACAUCCCUUCAAGGUCGGAGAUACCGUCUGGGUACGCAGGCACCAGAGCAGGAACCUCGAACCGCGGUGGAAAGGACCCUACACUAUCCUGCUGACCACUCCUACUGCACUCAAAGUGGACGGCAUCGCUGCUUAGAUCCAUGCUUCCCACGUGAAGACUGCACAUCCACAGGAGUCCGCAGACACCUCUCCGGAUCCAGAAUGGAAGUUGCAACGUACCCAAAAUCCGCUAAAGAUAAGACUCACUCGCUGUUAAUUUUUCUUGCUUUGUGCUGUGUCUUCCCCAUAUCAGUUAACCCCAACCAAUCUGUGAGCCAGACAUGACAAGUAUUAUCGGGGACAAAAAAUAUAAUUUAAAAAAAAAAAAACAAAAACAAAACAGGAUCCCCCACUUUCUGCCGACUCUUGCAGGAGCCUGAAAUGGUACGGGGCAGGGCCAUGUACCGCAUUUGCCUGCAACCCCUUAAACAUUACCUUUACUCAGGCAGGCAAAGCAUCAAAAGAUUGGAUAAAAAAAAAAAAAACAAUGGGGCCUGAGAGUAUAUCAUAAAACUGCCUAUGACCCUGGGGUCCUAUUCAAAAUUAGAUUAAUAGUAAAUACCAACCCCCAACCAGUAUGCUGAGCCGUCAGCUAAAAUAAUGCUGGAAUCCGAGCAGAUGGGUCAAUGGAUAUAAGAUUAUAUCCAUGAUAUAAAAAAAAAAGGGGGGAAUGAAGGACCCCAAGGCCCCAGGCCCAACAUUAGGAAAACUAACCCCUGUGCCCUGAAGCUGCAAGAUGUUCCCUCACCCAACCCCCAUGUCAAAACCCCUCCAGCAGCAUGUAGCACCUCAGGUGUUGCACAAUGUUACCACAAGAUGUUCCAUGUAGAUAACCCUAACGGGCCCCCUAUCACAAGAUGUUCCUUUUAGACAGUCCUACUGGUUAAACUUGAGAACUAGGUUUAAAAACAGGAACUGAAAGGACAGAAUGCAAUUUUAUGGUUUUUCUGAGAACAAAAAGUUGAAAAACAAGUUUACCCCCCUAGGUGACUCAACUGCUGAAUUCAGAGGGACCAAUAGGAAGGCUGUUGCUGUGCUAAGCUAAGACCUAACCCACCUGUUCCAUAUAAAAGAUCUAUACCCCAAAGCCCGGUGUGCCAGCUCAUCGAAGCUCCGGCUGAGGUUUUGCUGUGCACCCGCAGGCGCCUGUGUGAGAAUAAACGCCUCCUGCUUUUUGCA